UGUGUGUGUGUGUGUGUGUGUGUGCAUGUGUGUGUGUGUGUAUGCGUGUGUGUGUGCGUGUGUGUGUGUGUGGGGCCACUGCAUUAUCUCUAUAAUCAAAGCAUCCAUAUUGUUGUUGGUUUCAGCAUUUAUAUUCUUAUUUUUAUUAAGCCUUUUGAAAUGAUUGUUGUGUUAUUUUUUGUUUUUUUGGCUCUGUGGGAGGGGCCCGGGAAAGCACUAAAGAGAGGCUGAUUAGUAGUGGGUUAAUAGUGUGGUAGUAGUGCGUUAGUAGUGUGGUAGUGUUAGUAGUGUAUGAACAGGGGGAAAGAUCGCACACAUGCACGCACAGACAGACAGACACACAUGCACGCGCGCACACACACACACACACACACACACGCACACACGGACAGACAGACACACAUGCGCACACACAGACACACACACACACACCCGAACAGACACACACACCCAUACACACACACAUACUGACAGUCAUGCAUGUACACACACACACACAUACACACACAUGGACAGUCACGCACGUAUACACAGACACAGACACACACACACACACACGCUCCCUCAAAGUUCAGCGUCUGCUGGGCCCUCCCACUGUUUUGACUGGUGUCUCCUGAUUGGACGAAGAGGCUGAGCUCUUUGGCCUUGCUUCCGGGCCCCAUGGGCAGGUGGGCUGAGGUAACUGAACGUGUUUCUUUGUUGUUUCGGGUGCUUCUGUCACCCGGGGCUCAGAGUGCUCCCUUUUUGAGGGGCACAGGUAGUUCCAUCUUAACCUGCCCUUUACCCUUUGACCUUUACCCUUUACUGCACCUUAACUUUGGCAUUUUUUUUAUUUUAUUAAUCUCCACAUAAUAUUAUUUAAUACUUUUACCAGGUCCUUCAGGUGGACUGCAUAACUUAACUAGUCAUGCCAAUAUUUACUUUUUUUUCCCCCACUUUCAGUUAAAAAAAUGUUUUCUCUUGCUAGGUUGUGUUUUUAAAAAAACUUUUUUUACAGAAUUAAAAUACCACUAUAUAGCGCGCGGUCACAUUCUCAUGUGCAGACCCGAGCUCUUCCUUCUUUUUGGUUAAUCGUAAAAGACGAGCCAUGCUGUGGGGGAGGAGGUGGUGAUACCACAACCGUCGAUUCUGCAGGGCGCAGACGAGCAUGCGCUCUCCUCUGAAGUGUGUGACUUGCACCGCUGCUGGUUAGCAUGCUGCAGUAUGCUAGCUCGCCACAAUACGUUAGCCUGCUGCAGUAUACUAGCAUGCCACAGUACACUAGCAUUACACAGUACGUUAGCCCGCUACAGUACACUAGCAUGCCACAGUACGUUAGCCCGCUGCAGUACACUAGCAUGCCACAGUACGUUAGCCCGCUGCAGUACACUAGCAUGCCACAGUACGUUAGCCCGCUGCAGUACACUAGCAUGCCACAGUACGUUAGCCCGCUGCAGUACACUAGCCCACCGCCGUACGUUAGCGCGCUGCCGCAGUACGCUAGCCUGCCACAGUACUCUGGCAUGAGACAGUACGCUAGUCUGCCACAGUACGCUAGCGCGCCGCAGUACGCUAGCCGGGCUCGUGCAGACUGGAGCGCGAGGAGGACACUUUUUGCGCAGCCCAAGAGGAGAAUCCGCGGGCGCCCGGUUGACCAGCCGCGGUCGUUGUUGUGCGAUGAGGCUCUUUCAUCUCUGCCGACUGGAAUCCGCCCAUCCUUGGGUGAGGCUAGAGCUGCUUAACCACGCGGCUGCUGGAAAGAUGAUUGGUCAGCGAUCAUCACUGUAUUCGGCUGAUUGCGGGGAAUUAUUUCACAUUUAUCCACGCUGUCUCACGCCCCCCCCCCCCCCGCCACUGGCUGUUGCGAGACGUGCAAAAAUAUGCCUGCUCUGUGUAAAAAAUAAUUUUUUUUACAAUUAUUUUUAAUGAUAUUUUUGUUUUUGUUAUUAUGUUAUUAUACGUUGUGAUUAUACUGUAUGUGUCGUCUGUGUUUUUUGCACAUAGAUCAUCACACAGAGCCCUGCUGCGUUCAAGAAGCUAAUGCCACACAAAAACUUUGGGGUCUAUGCAAUAGUGAACAAAACAGUCAAGCUCCCCAAGAACAGCAGAGGGUUGGACAGCGGUGCAGCAUGGGAAAUGUAGUCUGUAGCGCCAUAUCCUGUAGGCGGUGGGCACAGUGUACUUGGAUUUGUGCAGAUCCACGCAGGUCUUUAUCUGAUCUGGAUAAGCUUGAUGAAUGUGAUCGGCUUAACUGGAUCAAUUUCAAGAUUGGUGAAUCUGCACAGGUGUGACGCAGACACCAUCGGGGAGAACAUGACCCGUAGCUUUGGACUCCAUUUCCCAGCAGCACCUGAGAAACUUGCCACCGUAACAGACUCGCAUCAGAAUGUUCCCUAGUGUUGGGCAUCCUGUGUUAGAACCUGACAACGGCGUUCCCUGAAAGCUGAAUAUUUACUCCUCGAGAAUGCUAACACUGGUGAUUUUUUUAGUUUUUUUUUUUUUUUUAACGUCGUUCUUUUUAAAAAUAUCUUAGGGCUCUGUAAUAAACCUUAUGCCUUUAUGUGUCUUUGUGUUGAGCUUGAAAUGGCCAAGUGUGCAUUUUUAACAAGCCAUUCGCUGUUGUGACAUUACUAUUAAAGUUUAUAUGUUGCAAAUGAGGUCUUGGGUAUCUCUGCUGUGUGCACUGGUGACUGCUGCUCCUCCAUGCCGAUGCCAUUUUAUUGGAGGCCCGCUGGAUGCUUUUUUUUAUAGCAGGGUUUUCAAGAAGACCGGUAAUGGACUGCAUAAUGGAUUCCUCAAGAGAAAAUAUUUCAAGGCCUGACCUCCCCUGUUUCCUGCUGAACCGUGCGGCUAAACACCCUGGAGCCCGGAGGCUGUACUGCCCCACCCCCCCCACCCCUGUCGGUGUUGGAUUGCACCAAGGAUUCCAUUUCUGAAGAAGCCCUUUGUUGCCCACACUUCCGGAGAAGUUCCCCUCCGAGACCUGAAGUUCCCAAAUUACCGGAUCGCACCGCCAUGAUGAAGCCCAGCUCCUGGCUUUUUAAUUUCUCGGACUUGAGGGUGAGGUUGGGCUACACGGAUUCAGUGGCUACUCCGCUCAAGCCUGUGUCACUGACCUUCGGUGGAGAUGAUUGGUGUUCAUUGACAGCGAUUGACUUCUUUGACAGCUGGAUUUUUUUAUGAGCCACCAGGAAGCCCACUGUCAUCGAGGGGAAUGCUGACAUCCUUAAACCUCCAAUAUUGGGUGUUUUGUUUUUGUUUUUGUUUUCUUUUGUUUAUAGAAAGGACAUGUUUUGGUGACACUAAUCCCUUCAAGAAUCCUGACGUGAAUUUUUAAAAAUAUGAAUAUAAAUUUUAAGCCUUGUUUAUUUUACAUUUACAGAUUUUUUUAAGCACCUGGGUGCUCAACAGAGGGUCCUCAGAAGUACUGUAGGGGGUCCCUGGCCAGACUUGAUAUGCAUCGACGAUACACAGAUUAGGGAAAAUAUUUCAUAAUAUAACAUUUUUAUUAAAAAAUGAUAUAUAA